UUUGAUCGUUUUAUUUUUCAGGAAUGUGGACAGGGGCUAUCAUUUUCUAGAAGUCAGAAUUCAAUUGUGGCGUAGGCACGAACACGUUCGGCACAUCCAUUUCCUUUCCAAGUAAACAAAACCAUACCCAAACCCAAAAUUUCAAGAACCCAAGAAGCCCAAAAAAUGAAAAAAAGAAAAAGAAGAGAAACCCAAACCCAAAUACAAGUAGCCCAAAGAAAGAAAAAAAAGUAGAAGACCAAACAACCCAAGCACAAAAAGAAAAAUGAUGAAAAAAAGAAGAAAAUAAGAAACAAAAAAGAACCCCACGUUUAGAACUCCCAUUUUCUUUCUUUUCUUUCUUUUUUCCCCUCUAUUUCUUAUUCACCCAUCUUCCCCAAACAAAACCCUAAUACUAUUAGACUAUCAAGCCAUCGCCGUUUCGCAUGCCAUCAUCGACCCCUUUCGCUGUCCUACGUCACCGUUGAUGACCGAGUAGCCGACGAUCAAACCCCUUCCAUCGUACUUCGCACAUCGUCAUUGCCAUCACUUUUCCAUCAAAACGCCACAGUUUGCAAGCCAAAGCCGCCAUCUUUCCACCGCUGUUCAUACCUCUCACUGCUGAGAUUGCUCAAUUAAUCACCACCUCUUUUUAACUGACCAAAACCAGAUUGCUCAAUUAAUCACCACCUCUUUUUAACUGACCAAAACCACCCUAUUCUUCACCAAAAAACCACAGGUCAUCUCGUCUCCACCGCUCCUUUGUCGUGCAACACCAUCGAUCGAGUUCCUCAAUCGCCAAACCUUCACCCUUAACAGCCACCACCUUUCCAAAACCCAAUCGCUACCUUUAGAACAACAAACCUCACCUUUUUUUCCCCAUUACCGCCGACCUUCAAAGCCCCCUCCCAACCUUAAAAGAACCGAUUAAAACACUCUACACAAACAAUUCCAAUGCCGUUUCAAUCAUCUGCCACCAUCCGUCAUCGCUACACAAUCAUCUUCAAUUGAUUUUUGAGCCCAAAAACUGACCAUGGUUCGUAUUAGAAACUAGUUGGUCGAUAGAUUCUCGAUUUCACUUAACCGAGGUUGAAAUCGAUUUUUAGCACCACUAGUUAUCAACCUUGACAACGAAGAUCCAGAACCACCACCACCGAUAAAUGUUCCUGGACUGAUUUGACUCUGAUGCUAAAGAAGCUCGACACCGGUUGUAAUAGAAAGUCCACAAGUUCAUCCCGACACUUCUAACGACACAACGUUUCAAAUUUACAACAUGUUUUACGGUUACUAACAUUUCCUACAGGUCGUUUAGACGGAGCUAACACUUCGAGUCACAAUGACGCUGAACUGUUGAACCAAAGUGAGCAACCAACUCCACGACAAACAAGGUCGGCCAUCGUUCACAAUCACACCAACCUAAUAAAGAGCGAGAGUCAACCUUGAACUACAGUACUGAAGCUGCUGAUAUGUCGUGUCCCCCGCAUAGUGCAGUCUAAAACGAGUACCAAUCUUCUAGAAAUAAUAGGCACGGUUAGUGGGGCCAAACUUAUACAAUGCCACAAUAACAGAGACUUCGAGGGUCUCUAAAUUUCACAAUACCAGAACACCGUGCAAGAUAUGAGGAAAUUCAACAUCGGCCAAUUCCAGUCUGUACACGAACCGCUCGAAGCAAUAAAGUCUUUCGAUGAGGUGGCGAUCUGACUACUAGAGAACAAAAGGAGCAACCCCCUUCCGCGGUGGACGAAAAACUUUAUCGCAUUGAGGCUCGCCUAGAAAUAAUUGAAGCCAACAUCUCAAGCAUCCUCAUCAUACUGUAAAAUGGUCAUUUCCACCAUCCUCCGACCCAUUAAAUAUAUACAGGGAGUACAUUUUACCUCAACUUUUGUUAUUCUUUUUGCACAUUAUGGGCAAUGUGGGCUAAGUAGGGGGACAUGCCAUGUUAUUUCUUCUUUGCAUGUGUUUCACUAAAUAAUUCCUUAAUUCCUUUCGAAAAUAAACCUCUAAUUCUUAUGCUUAGUUUAUUUAAAUAAUAGGGGUGAAUCAUGAAUAACUACUGCUUACUUGAUCAAUAAAUAUUUUGUAGAAUUGAAAAUGUUAUUGCUUAGUCAAUAUUUCAUAUAAAUUGUUGGCUCUUUUGAACUUGCCUAAUGAAAGUACUCAUUUUAAUAAAUAAAUAAAUAAGUAAUUUGUUAAUGGCUUCAUUAAGAGUGAAGGAUAAAAAAUGUGACCAAAUUGAGUAAUUGGGGUGAGGUGCUUGGGUUGUCAUCUCAUUUUGCGUCAAAAGAUUUGGUGACGAACCAAAACUUGUAACACUCUGCUAACUGAGCUUCCUUAAGAAAAGAGAAAUAAAUUCAUUAGGGACAUGCCAAGUUGAGUAACCAGAGUGAGGUGCUUGGGUUGUCAUCUUAUUUCAUGUCAAAAGAUUUGGCUAUGUCUCGAAUUUGUAAAAAAUAAAAAAUAAAAAAUAAAAAAAUAACAUGUCGAGUUGAGUAACUGGAGUGAGGUGGUUGGGUGACCCUCCCAUUUCGCAUCAAAAGACUUGACCAUGUCACGAAUAAGUUUAAAAAAAUAUAAAUGAAAAAUUGAAAAAAUAUAUAUUGAGUACGAUUGUCUUGCAAGUUUGAUUAAACCUAAAUUUAGUGAAGUAGUUGAGUUUGACAUACUGUUCGAGAUUUUAUAAAAUGCUUAUUGAUUGAGUCUAGUAAUUAUUUAUUUUUAAUUCACCUAAUUGUUUGCUUUAUACUUGAUUGAGAAAGGGGGUUUGAUUUCGAAAAGGAUUGUCAAUGAUUUUUAGUGAAUAUCAUGCUUGAGGACAAGUAUCGACUAAGUGGGGGGAAUUUGAUAGCAAGAUAAAUUCAUUUUUUUGAAUACAUUUAGUUUUGGCUAAUUAUCGAAUAAGAUGCUACUAAACUUCGGUUCUUCUUAUUAGGAAUGAAGUUUGUGUGCUGAAAUUCAAAUUCAUACAAAAAGGGGGCUAAAUUGGAACAAAAGCAAUAAUGAGGGCUAGAUUGAGAGAUUGAAUAUUUAAAGUUGGUUGAAUAAAGAUUGAAGGGUUGAAGAUUAAAAAAAGUGGCUGGAUAAAGAUCAAAUUAUUUUUUAUAUUGUUAAAAUUUUGUACUUAGUUUAAAUUUGAUUUUUAAAUUUUGAUUUAUCUAGUGAUAAUGUUUAGGAAAAAUCUAGCUAAGUUUUAGCAUUAGAAGUAUGUAUAAAUACUCGGUGGAUAUAACCACCGGGGAGACUUGGCCUUGAAUAUAAAAAAAUUACUGCAUUCUGCCAAUUUUUUUUUCCCAAUUUCAAUAAUUUGGUUAAUUUGCCUUCUAAGCCCUUUCCCCUUUCUAGUUCCCACAAUUUCCAUUAAAAACCACUUCCAUACUCCAUCUAGCAUGAUUUAUUUCAUGGUUAACUAAGUUCCUUUUAGCCUUAGUCCAAUUAUUGCUCUGACAAAGUAACCGUGAGAUAUGAACCCAUACUAAAUACUUUGCAAUUCUGUAUUUGCUAUCUCUCUGGUAUAUGAGAUAGUACAAAUUUCUUCCUAAAAGUCGAUUCGAUUUCAAUUAAUAAAACACACGUUGGGUUGGAAUUGUUUGGCGUACUGUUGGGAAGUUGAGUCGGUCGUGUUGUAUUCAAAAUCCUGCGAACAAAUUAGCAUGUUUAAGUGGGAAAAGCUAGUUGGAUUUCGUCAAGGGAGAUAGUGAUCGGAUUUAAAUGACUCACAGGAUUGAGGCCGUUGAUUCUAGUUGGACUUUUCAGAUUGUAAGGCUGUCAAAGUCUUAAAUUAAGGGCAUGUGUCACAUGGUUAGAAAUUCGACAAGGGUUAAUUUCUAGGUCGUACCGGAACUGACUACAAGAGGAAAAGCUGGUGGUUUGAGGCAUCCUUGAUUGCUAUAACCAACUUAUUGGUUGGAAGGAAAAACCUUUUUUCAAGGAUCGGUUUGAGUUCGGGGUGUACCGAGGCUAAGGCUAAGCUUUAAAAUAUUUAAUUUACCCAUUUAUUUUAUUUACUUAAAUUUAUUUUUGCAAUUUCGAAUUUGUUUUCAUUUUAUUACACUACAUAUUUAUUUAUUUUAUUUACUCUAUUAACUUAAACUCCCUUUUUAUUUUUCAUCUCGCAAUGCACAGGUUGUGGGCAUGACUGUAUCACGACAAUAAUUCUGGUAACGAGAAAAAAGAGAAAUUGGAUAACUAGACCUUGUGGAUUCAACGCCCAUCAAUGUUGUGGAAUAUUUUAGUUAUUAAUCGUUUGCUUGCUUCUGGUUUAAUUGUUGAAUGUAGUACGAGAUUUGCUAAAAUAGUUCAUUUUAAAUGUCAUUUUUAGGUGCUGGAAUUGGGGUUGUUGUGUCGGCAUUGAAAAAUUUACAAGUGUGUGACUCGAUCUCAUAAAAACAGUGAACGACAGAAAGCCGAAAAACCCAUUGUCUACACACAGGCCGUGUGCACCACAUAGCGUGGCACACAACCUUGUGGGGCUGGGCAGUUUCAAAAA